CGCCGCUGCUGCACCGUCCGGGCGCCGGGGUUGUCCCGGCCCCAUCAAGGCCGGGCCGCACCGAGGGGGCCGCGGAGGGAGCGGGGCCGCUCCCCGCGGCGGCUGGUGGCCAUCUUAGUCCUCCUCCUCGGCGCCGAGUGCCCCCUCCCCGCCCGGCUGCCAGCGCUGCCUCCUCCCUCCGCUCCUCCUCCUCCUUCUCCUCCCACUGCUCCCGGCUGGCUGCGGUCGCUCCCGCAGCCCGGCGAGGCCGCCCGCGGAAAGCUGGUUGGUGCUGGCAGGCCGCGGGCCCGUUCCUUAGUUUUGGGGCUUUGUGCAAUUAUCUUACUUUUUGCAGUGGUGGGUUUGGGUUCUCCCCGUUCUCUGACAGAAUUCCUGCUCCUCUAGCGCUAACCGCCCGUGUCCUCUGCCCUCUACCCCCCUGCCACAGGCCCGAGCAGCUGGCACGCGAGAAGAAGCCGUCCCGGGCAGGAACUUGGAUGUGUGAUGAGGAAGGGAAUGCAGGUCUAUGCCGGAGCAAAUAACCCACCCUUGAGCUGGGCUUGAGUUGCUUUCCUUUUCGCUCUUUGUCAAGUGUGCAUCUAGGGAAAGUCCACUGGAUAUCCCUAGUGCCGACCAGAAAGAGGAUUGUGUGUCUGUGCUGACCAACCGGUCUCAUCUGAAUGAUCCAGAUGUUUAAACAGAAAUAGUUACCCUUUUCCUACUUAACCCAGAAGUUGUGUUAAAUUCCCAGCAGCUGAAGGACACCUUUUUGUCUGCAGGACAAGACAUCAGUUUAGCCAGGUGCUGGGCACACAGUGCAGGGGGUCACUGCAACCUCAAGGCAAGCUUCAUCCAUGUGGACACUCCUGAGGAGCAGUGCAAAGGGCAUGAUGUUCUGAGGGCACUCACCAUGUUUUGUAUGCAUCUUGUAGCAAUGUAUCCACAGAAGGAAAGGUGCAUUCUCCAGCCAUGCCAGUCUAGAAGCAAAAAUACAAUGAACUCUGCUAGGCAGAAUUUGACCCCGUUUGGUGUUUUCAUUCUGAACUGCAGCAAAGGGAAGCACUGAUUCCAUCAGCUUGUUCCAACAGUUAUUUCACUUACUGUGCAAGAUGCAGCCUGUGAACGGUACAUAGCAGUUACACUUCACAAAACAAACAAUCUUCUUCCUGUAAUUUAUGUGUAGGAGGAGACUUGCAUCUUUCUUAGGUAAAGGUUUAGCAGGACCUAUGUGAGCCAGCUCUACUGAGUAAGAAUUAAAGAUAACAGAGAUGGUGCUGUUCCUAAUUCCUUGUAAGUAGUGGGAAAGAGGCAAAAUCCCCCAGGAUGGCAGUGGGAGUUGUAGGGACAGCUCUAUGCUAUGCCAGAUACACGUUUUGCUGCAUGGCAAGUUACGUUGGUUUUUUUUCUUCUUGUGCAGCUAAUGCUCAUUGCAUUCCUAUUUAUAGUUCCCAUUUUUCAGUCAGUUGUCACAGUUCCAAAAUAAAUAAUGGCAAACUGUAAUGUUCCAUACUGAGUGACACCAGACACUCUUUUUACCUUCUCAGCAUCUCUCCUCUUGUAAAGCUCAUCACAGGCACCUGCUUGUCUUUCUCAGAGAAGGUGCGAAAUAGUAAUUACAGUGCUAUAGUUAGACAAAAGAAAGCAUUUACAGUUAAUCUUUCUUCCACUUUGUGAAGCAACUGUGCACAAGGGAUUGCAUCAAUCAUUAAAAAAUGUGGAGAUAUAUUUAAAUUUCUUUGCGUCCUUUUUUAGAGGGUAAGGUGAAACCAACACAAUUAUCUUCCAGUGGUGCAAUGUCACUCUGCUUUCAGGUGAGAUGCUCAUAUACUUCCAUUGCAUUUAUUUCACACAUCUCGGGCAUAAAGCUACAUCUGUCCUCUUUGCAUAUACUGGCAAAGUACAGGCAAAUCCAGAACUGGAAAGAAAUUGCUACAAGAAAGUGAACUAAAAUGGAAGGAAUUUUAGUCUUUUUUUUUUGUCUUUUUUUUUUUAAUUAGAAUUUUUUUAACAUAAGAAAAUAACACUGCUUCCCAAGUUUACACCGCCUAAUGUUUUAAUCACACAGGGUUCUUAAUACUUCCUCUGAGAAUUACUCUUCCCUUCCUCCUUC